AGGCCUGCACGGCGCAGGGCCCUGGGGCAGAGACCCGAAUGUGGUCGGAGUGCGGGCUGGGAAGGCGGGAUCGGACCGCUGGGCAUCCACCUGGGCCCUGGGGAGGAGGGCCCUGCAGCUGGGACCCCGGCCGGGCCCCAGAGCCAGGUCUGAGGUGGGGCCGCUGGGAUGGUUCUCGACCCCGGCAGCCUGUCAGCCUCCUGCCUCCACAGCGACCAGCGCGGAGGAGGCUCUCAGGGCCGCGAAGCUGAGAGGACACAACGAGGGCCAGCCUCCCUUGGGAUCCGCAGCUGGGCGCCUGCGCCCUUGCAACCCAGGAACGCGCUACCAGGAAUCUGCAGGGCCCUGGGGCUGUUUGCAAGUGCGCCCUUCGGCCUCCGAGGAGAGACGACCAGGGACCCCCUGGAGCCAGCAGCCCCACCCCCUCAGAUGUGUGCUCUUGGAACACAAGCCCCCAGGAGCCUGAGCACACGGAUAGCCUUCUUCACAAGAGCCCUGCAGCUUGGGCUGCCCAAGCAGCAUUCUGGUCCAUCGGGGAGCUCGCUGAUGGCGAAACAGACCAAGAACCGAAUCACCCCUCACCCGGUCCCGUUUGAUUAGCGAUCGGUUCGGAGACAGAGCAUAUACCCAACACCCAAGCGUGAGUGUGGCUUUUGCUUCCGUUUUCCAAGAAGAGAAAAACGAAUGACUGGCCUAAACGUCCUCUCCCAAGCAGGUGUGUGAUAGGCUCCCGACCCCUCUGCUCUGGGCCACGAAGCUUCCUCUGGUUCCCCGCCCCCAGCCCACGGCCCCUUUGCUGCACCAGGACUGGGAGAGGCCCAGGGGGCUGCCAACCCGGACCCAGACUCCCUGACGCCUGACUUGCGGCCCCUCCCCACAGCCUGGGGGUCACUGUCUACAGCCAGACCCACACCGGGGCCUCCCUUGAAGUAAGAGUCGGUCUGUUGUGCCGUCUGUGUCACCCACCCCACGCUGGCAGUGACUCCUCUGCCACUAGGAUCAGCCCGUUACUGC
rnacentral:lncRNA from 1 species